CUUCCCCUGGUCUGGUCUGGGGUUUUGAACUGUUUGAAAAUUUAAAGAUUGCCAAACUGCAGCAUGAUUCCUAAUGGGGAGGAAGGGCUGGUGUAUGUGACAGAGGGCCACCCUUAUGCACAAGUUCUGGUGUUAUUUCCACUCUUGAGUGUUGCCUGACUUUGGAACCGUUUAAAAAUAUCCUAUGAAAUGCCUGAGAGCACUGAUCCACAAAUCCCAGUACUGACUUUGCUUCCACGGGAAGAAAAAAAUCCCUCUUAAUGCGAUGAAAGCUCCCGUGGCACUGCUGAGACGCACUUUUUCGUGUUGGUGAAGGUACCACGAAGGAGAGACUCCGAUGACAGCUUGACGGAGCCGGGCGAGGGGCAGCGCUCGGCCGAGCCCACCGGGGCCCGCUGCGGGGAGCGGCAACCAGUCGGCCAGCUCUCCAAGUUUCUUGUGCAAUCUGUGAGUGACUGGGAUACCAUCAAAAUUAUUGCUAUAUCUUGCCAAGAGAUGUGACCAAACUUCAGGGAUUCCUCAACUGUCGCAGUUUGCCAGAGUACUCGCCUACAUACCAUUUAUUUUCCAUUUCUUCUGGGAUAACAGUGUACCUAAUGUUUGAAAGCUUUUCUCAAAUCCUUUUGAUGCAUUAGGUGAGAGUGCAGAUGAAAAUAGGGUGAAAGAAAUUUCAGUUCUUGAUUGCAACGUCAGAAGCAAAGCUCCUGAUUAGAAAAAAAAAUGGAAGAAGGAAAUAUUUUCUUUGGAUGUUUAAAAAAUGAAAGUUGUUUCCCAGCUAUUGCAGAAGGUCCUAGAGGCAGGUUUUGAGUACCAAAACAGAGAAGAUGUUUUAGGCUAGCAACCACCAAAUUCCUGCAUCCCCCUUUCUGAAUAGGACCUGAAAAUAUUUUUGGAGUUGGGAAUUCAGCUCCUCAU
rnacentral:lncRNA from 1 species